GGAAUAUGGUUAUAAAUGAAUGUCUCUAAGAGAGUUGAUGACACAAAAAUUCAUACUCAAUAACAUUACACUGAAUCCC
rfam:Mesocricetus auratus contig197577, whole genome shotgun sequence.